AGAGUUUGAUCCUGGCUCAGAACAAACGCUGGCGGCGUGCCUAACACAUGCAAGUCGUACGAGAAAGGGUCCUUCGGGAUCUGAGUAAAGUGGCGCACGGGUGAGUAACGCGUGGAUAAUCUGCCCCCCAGUUGGGAAUAACUCAUCGAAAGGUGGGCUAAUACCGAAUAAUACUGCUUGGCCUUGGUCGAGCAGUCAAAGAGAGCCUCUGCUUGCAAGCCCUCGCUGAAGGAUGAGUCCGCGUACCAUUAGCUAGUUGGUAGGGUAAUGGCCUACCAAGGCGACGAUGGUUAGCUGGUCUGAGAGGAUGAUCAGCCACACUGGAACUGAGAUACGGUCCAGACUCCUACGGGAGGCAGCAGUGAGGAAUCUUGCGCAAUGGGGGCAACCCUGACGCAGCAACGCCGCGUGAGUGAGGAAGGUCUUCGGAUCGUAAAGCUCUGUCAGUUGGGAAGAAAUGCCUGAGGGUCAAUACCCUUCAGGCUUGACGGUACCAACAGAGGAAGCACCGGCUAACUCCGUGCCAGCAGCCGCGGUAAUACGGGGGGUGCAAGCGUUGUUCGGAAUUAUUGGGCGUAAAGAGCGUGUAGGCGGCCUGAUGUGUCAGAUGUGAAAGCCCUGGGCUCAACCCAGGAAGUGCAUUUGAAACUGGCGAGCUAGAGUUUAAGAGAGGUAAGUGGAAUUUCAGGUGUAGCGGUGAAAUGCGUAGAGAUCUGAAGGAACACCAGUGGCGAAGGCGACUUACUGGCUUAAAACUGACGCUGAGGUACGAAAGCGUGGGUAGCAAACAGGAUUAGAUACCCUGGUAGUCC
rnacentral:rRNA from 1 species